CGUUUCCCCUUUCAGGCCGGAAGAAUUGGGUCUCUUCAGGCUGCAGGGUGUGAACGUCGCUUAAGGACAUUUUAUAUAUGAUAUAUAUGCGAAAUGGGUCGCUGCAAAGAAUAUUGCUGUUCAGGACGCUGCCUGUAAACACGAAGCUUCAGUUCAGUAAAAUCAACUCGUCUGCUGGUUUUUACAGUGUCACAAGCCCUGUGGGUAAUCCGGU